CCUACGGGUGGCAGCAGUGAGGAAUAUUGGUCAAUGGGCGGGAGCCUGAACCAGCCAAGCCGCGUGAAGGAAGAAGGCGCCAAGCGUCGUAAACUUCUUUUGUCGGGGAACAAAGGGCGCCACGUGUGGCGUUGUGAGUGUACCCGAAGAAAAAGCAUCGGCUAACUCCGUGCCAGCAGCCGCGGUAAUACGGAGGAUGCGAGCGUUAUCCGGAUUUAUUGGGUUUAAAGGGUGCGUAGGCGGACAGUCAAGUCAGCGGUAAAAAUGCGGUGCUCAACGCCGUACAGCCGUUGAAACUGGCAGUCUUGAGUGGGCGAGAAGUAUGCGGAAUGCGUGGUGUAGCGGUGAAAUGCAUAGAUAUCACGCAGAACUCCGAUUGCGAAGGCAGCAUACCGGCGCCCGACUGACGCUGAGGCACGAAAGCGUGGGUAUCGAACAGGAUUAGAUACCCGGGUAGUC
rnacentral:rRNA from 1 species